UACGUAGGGAGCGAGCGUUGUCCGAAUUUACUGGGCGUAAAGCGCGCGUAGGCGGGCUUUUAAGUCGGGGGUGAAAUGCCGAGGCUCAACCUCGGAACUGCCUCCGAAACUGGAAGCCUUGAGGUAUGGAGAGGGAAGUGGAAUUCCUGGUGUAGCGGUGAAAUGCGUAGAUAUCAGGAGGAACACCUGUGGCGAAGGCGGCUUCCUGGCCAUAUCCUGACGCUGAGGUGCGAAAGCCAGGGGAGCGAAC
rnacentral:rRNA from 1 species